rnacentral:lncRNA from 1 species
AAAAUACUGCCUUAUUGGACACAACCAGCCUAUGGUUUCUGAUCUUCCAACAGCUCCUUCCUGGAGAACUGCUGAAGAGAUUUCAAGAAGUACAUGACAAUCUGUUAGAGAGAUCAGGCCUCCUAGAAGAUAGUGAUGGAUAAUGAAGUAGGUGACAGACAUGAGGAAAAACAGAGCCUACAGAAGUCUUUGGCUAGUCUAUGCUACAGACCAGGCUAGACCUUAUAAAUAACUACUCAACUCAGGCAUCUUGAAAUGUGCAACAAAAUCAGACAAGAUUCAGUUUCGUUUACUAAGAACCCACCAUGUUCCUGGCAUGCGGCCAGACGCUCGGGAACAGCCCAAAUGUGAUGACUAAGAAGCACUCAGGACACAUCCUACUCUCUAAGAAUUUCUAAAGUCUACAGCUCGAAGAAACAGAGUCUGUACCCCAAAAUAAAAGAGCAUGUACACAGCAGCAUGGUCUACAUAUUCAAAGGGCUGAGGAAACUGGGUCCUUUAGCGAGAACACAGACAUGCCACAUGAUUGGGGUCAUAUGCCAGCAAUCAUGGCCUCA